ACACGGGGGGCGCAAGCGUUAUUCGGAAUUAUUGGGCGUAAAGGGCGUGUAGGCGGUUUUAUCGGUCAGAUGUGAAAGCCCAGGGCUCAACCCUGGACGUGCAUUUGAAACAGUAAGACUUGAGUACGGUAGAGGAAAGCGGAAUUCCUGGUGUAGAGGUGAAAUUCGUAGAUAUCAGGAGGAACACCGAUGGCGAAGGCAGCUUUCUGGACCGAAACUGACGCUGAUGCGCGAAGGCGUGGGUAGCGAACAGGAUUAGAAACCCUAGUAGUCC
rnacentral:rRNA from 1 species